GGGUUAGUAAAGGUUUCGACAGGGGUCUUGCAGGUGGAGAAGCGAUCCGUAGCCGAACGUCAAACGGCAAAUCUUAAAAAUAAACGCUAACGAUAGAGUAGCAGUCGCAGCUUAAUUGCUGUGUGUCGCCCGGGGGAGACCCGCAUCUUCCGGAUCCGGCAUCAAAAUGGCGGGAAACGACAUGGCCUAAGCUUUGCGGCCAUGGGCGUAUGAUGAAGCUACCAAACCGGCCAGAUUGACUGUUCUCUCGCCGGAUGCGGGAAAUGGACUUGUCCGCAAGAACAGGAUAUGAUCGUAGAAGUACGCUGAAUGGGCUUUUGGACGCGGGUUCGAUUCCCGCCUAAUCCAUCC
rnacentral:tmRNA from 1 species